UACGUAGGGUGCAAGCGUUGUCCGGAAUUAUUGGGCGUAAAGAGCUCGUAGGCGGUCUGUCGCGUCGGCUGUGAAAACCCGGGGCUCAACCCCGGGCCUGCAGUCGAUACGGGCAGACUAGAGUGCGGUAGGGGAGACUGGAAUUUCUGGUGUAGCGGUGAAAUGCGCAGAUAUCAGGAGGAACACCGGUGGCGAAGGCGGGUCUCUGGGCCGAUACUGACGCUGAGGAGCGAAAGCGUGGGGAGCGAACAGG
rnacentral:rRNA from 1 species